rnacentral:tRNA from 1 species
CCGCCCGUAGUUCAACGGACAGAACUCCGGACUUCUAAGCCGGAUAUGGGGGUUCGACUCCUCCCGGGCGGA